UCCCCAGGCUGCUUUGAGUGACAGCCCCUGAGCUCUGGCGACAGCUGUGAGCGCCUGCGCCCGCCUGUCUGCCGCCAUGGCCGUGGCCCGUCUCCUCCGCGCCUUCUCCCCGCUGCCAGCGGCGCCCCGCGUCCUGAGGAAGGCCCUCAGCUCCGGCGGAAUCCCUACUGAUGAAGAGCAGGCUACUGGGCUUGAAAGGAAAACUAGCCAUGAAGAGAGGGGAAGACCCAUACAGCAUGUUCAGACCCAAGAGAUAUUCAGGAACCAAAGAAGAUCCUCACAUUGUUCCAUCGAUUGUUGACAAGAGACUAGUAGGUUGCAUCUGUGAGGAAGAUAACUCUGCUGUUAUUUGGUUCUGGGUACA